GUGGGGAAUAUUGGACAAUGGGCGAAAGCCUGAUCCAGCCAUGCCGCGUGAGUGAUGAAGGCCUUAGGGUUGUAAAGCUCUUUCAGUAGGGAAGAUAAUGACGGUACCUACAGAAGAAGCCCCGGCUAACUUCGUGUCAGCAGCCGCGGUAAUACGAAGGGGGCUAGCGUUGUUCGGAUUUACUGGGCGUAAAGCGCACGUAGGCGGAUUGGUCAGUUAGAGGUGAAAUCCUGGAGCUCAACUCCAGAACUGCCUUUAAUACUGCCAGUCUAGAGUCCAGAAGAGGUGAGUGGAACUCCUAGUGUAGAGGUGGAAUUCGUAGAUAUUAGGAAGAACACCAGUGGCGAAGGCGGCUCACUGGUCUGGUACUGACGCUGAGGUGCGAAAGCGUGGGGAGCAAACAGGAUUAGAAACCCCAGUAGUCC
rnacentral:rRNA from 1 species